UUAUAUAUAAUGCUGUGGACGUGAUGUCAGUGUUGUACUCUUAGUGCAUUCCGUUUCCUAUUCAUCCCUAAUUAUACAGAGCAUCCUCAAUGGCAGUUUUAUUAAACAACUCCCUUUCACUUUAACCACAUACGUAACAAAUACAUAUAUGCUACCGCGGACUUUUUUGUAGGAAAUUAAAUUCUCUACAAAUUAUUUCUUCGUUUUCACAGCGUUUGCAAUUAAUGUACUCUUGUUGUGACUGAAUAUAAUAUUCAAAGUUUGUGAGCAAUUUUAUGGUAGAUAGUGCUUUACGACUCGAUGUUUUCCUAUUUGUACCUUUGCUACGUACUACUGUUACGCCCCUAGUAAUUGCAACUUAUUAUUUUACCUCUUUCAUCAUUUAAAAUACUUGCUAUUUGCAACUUCUGGAAAGUAAAAGUUUUAACAUAGUACCUAGUAGUGCUUUGCUUCCGCGCCCUUCUGACAGUGUAUUAUUAGUAUUAUGGGUAAAAAUAAGUGCGCUUAUGUCAAUUGCACUAACAAUAAAAUUAAAAAUAGGAACAUAUCAUUUUUUUCAUUUCCCAUAAAAAACCUUGCGCUUUGUACAGAAUGGCAGAAAAACUGUGGUAAUCGUAAAAUAGCCCUGAAAGACAUAAACGAGUUAAAAUAUAAUUAUUUGUGCGAAACUCAUUUUUUAAUAACGGAUUACCAAACGACGACGAAGAGGAAAGUAUUAAAUAAAAACGCCGUUCCAAAAAGAUAUGAGGAUACUACUCCGACAUCGCCAAUAAUCAAGAAUCCUAGGAAGCAGCAUUGUCCAGUUUCAACUACUCACACUGAUAAUGAAAUGUCUAUUGACCUCCCCGAAAUUACUAAAACGUAUUUACCUAAAAUGCCAAAGACAUCGAAUCCAUCACUACCCGAAAUUGACACAUACAGCGAAACAACUUCAGUCGCCAGUGUUAUGCCCAUGAAAACAACCAAAUUGUCUCCAAAUUGCAGAAGGUUAACCUUUAAAAUUGGCAACUUACGGAGAAAACCUAAAACAAAGGAAAAACCAUACUGACGUCUAAAGUAUAAAUCUGCAUCUAAUUCCACAUAUUCCAAUAUAUGCAACAGUUUAGUAAACAAAAGUGUGGAUGUUCAAACUUUUGUAAAGAUGCAGUGCUUUCAUAAAAAUAAUACAGUGUGGAGUGCUAGAGAAAAACGGUUGUCCAUUUCGUUGUUCUAUAAGUCACCGACUGCGUACAGAUUUAUGAGAGCCUCAUUAAAAUUUGUGUUGCCAAGUGUAAAGACAAUACAUUCGUGGCUUAAAGUUACAAAUUUACCAACGGGCACGGAUACAGUUUUAAUAAGAAAAAUGAAAUAAAAAGUGAAAUGUAUGAACUAGUCCGAAAAACAGUGUGUUGUGUUAUUUGACGAAAUUUCUUUAAAAAGAAAAUUAGACUAUAAAUAGUGCAUUAGAUGUAAUAGAAGGAUACCAAGAUCUAGGUUCAUUGGGCAGAACCAAUUUAAUUGCCAACAGUGGGUUAGUGUUUUAUUUAAGAGGCUUGUUUUAUAACUUUUGCUUAUUACGUUUCUUCAGAGGCCGUGAAAACAAGAGGACCUUAUUAAAAUACUUAAAGAAGUGUUAAAAACCAUUAUCGAUAUGUCAUUAAAACCCAGAAUGAUAAUGUUCGACCAAGGCUCUAAUAACCGCGGUACUUUUCUAGGAUUAGGCAGUACAAAAGAGUAUAUUAACGGUGAAAAAAUUUACACUGCUUUCGAUUCUCCACAUUUAAUUAAGUCUCUGCGCAAUAAUUUUAUUAAUCCGAAAUUGAAGUUUAUCGUUGAUGGGAAAGAACUAUCUUGGCAAUGUGUUAACAGCGUAUGAUGAAGACGUAAAAAGUGCAACGACCAGAGCUAUGUCGAAGAUUACUCCGUCCCAUAUCAACCCUAACAAUUUUGAAAAAAUGAAAGUUAGGUAUGCCACUCAAAUAUUUAGUAGGUCGGUAGCGACCGGUGUUCAAACUACCCAUACCAUUAAAGAUCGAGGUAGUAAAACAUGGAAAAACACAGUUUGGUUUAUAAACAGUAACAAUAAUUUGUUCGAUUCGUUAAACAGUAAGUUUCUGAACGAUUGCAAUCCAAACCGCAGGCCCAUAUCGAUUUACAAGCAACUUCCAAAGGACAACAUAUCAAAUGGGAAAGAUGUGUUCGAUAGUAUAUCCGUCUAAGAAGGUACCAAAAAAGAAACAAUAUUUAUUGUAUCGACGGAUUUAAACACACCAUGAACGCC